ACAGCCCGAAGAGCUUCUACCCAGCACCCAGGCCAGCUCUUAAGAUUAAAUAUCAUCCAUCGGAGGGGAAAAUCAUAGGUACUUUGUUGAGACGGAGGAAGGGUGGAUAAUUUCUUCGCCACCUUAUGAAGGUCGAAGGUUGGCCUCCGAGUAAACGACGCAACCAAAACACUCCCCGCUUGAAACAUUUGCCGCCUUGUCAAGACUGACUGCCAGCAUAGCCUGCCAAACGCCCUUUGCCCUUGCCACAUGCACUAAGCAUCAUAGGCCCCUGGGAAUCGGGGAUGUAGAGUUCUACUGGCCAGCACGUAUCCUGUGAUGCAUCCUUUGUCCCAAGUCUCGCUGUUCAAGAAUCCGCCAUUGACAAUUGCUUGCCGAGUUUCAUGAAUGAGCUGUCCGGAGAGUCGCCUCAUGAAAUAAUAAUGCCCGAAUCGUUGAUACCCAGACUAUAUCAUCAAUCCAGUGCUCAAGCACGUUGUCGAGCGUUCCUGCAAGGGCAGAUUGCCCAGGGAUCCUGAUCCAGGGAGUCUGGGUAGCCGACAUGAUAGACAUUCGGUUUAUCAGCCUCAUACCGU
rnacentral:sRNA from 1 species